ACUACUUCCUUUUUGGAGCAUUAAUUUCAUUGUUUUUGUGGCUCUGUGAACAUAAAUAAUGAAAGUUUUGCUUGCAAACUAUGUCAAUUUGUACAUAACUGUGUGCAUGUACAAUGUGCAUUUACAUGUAUCUCAUUAAGGAUGCUCCUAUCCAAUCUGGUUUCCAUUACUUCUUUCUAGCCUGUUGAUUAUCUCUGCACUCAUUAGAUGCUACACUUAUGCUUGGGACAUCAAAAUAGACUGGGUUCUAUUUGAAGGUGGCUACUUCACUAGAAGAGAGAGAAUAUAUCCUUAUAAGGUGUCGUACAUUUUAGUGAUGAUAGGGUACCUGUUGUUAAGGUGGGUAUGGACACUCACUAUAUCAGUGGGGGAGGGUGGACUAGGUGUUCUUAAUUAUAACAUAUUUAAGACUGUUCUGUUCUGGAGGUAGCUAUAUUUUGUCAUUCUAUUUAGAACUUUAUUUGUCUUGAAAAUGAACACUUAAACAAUUGUGGUCAGUUCAGUGCUGUCAGAACAUUAGUAUGCAACCAAUCACUGCUAAUGAAGUUGAAGGAGUAGAUAUACUGAAGAGAAGGGACCUCUAAGAACACUUAAACAUCAUGCCUCAGAAAUACUUGUAAUAACAGACUAGCAUCCAUUGGUAAUGGCCGUUAGACAACAGUCAAGUGGUGAACUUGGUCAACAUUUUUAAAUAUCCAGAGCCACUCGAUGGCUGUCUGUACCAAGUCAAGAUCAGUUAUCAAGUGUUCCUAGUGUGACUCCAUCAACUGAUAUACUGACAACAGGUUCAGCUAGGAAGAGGAGUAUACUGUUGCUGGUUUGUUGGUUAAAGUGAAUGAGUUACAGUAUAUAACUAAUGGAUCAUCAGUGGAUGAGCCAGUCACUGAUAGUGAUAUUAAUGUUGCUUUAUGUUCCAGGAGUGAGAGGAGGGAGAGUGAAGAAGGAGAAGGAGGUCAUAGGACACUGCAGGUUGGGUUUGUAAUACCCACAGUCAUACCAGAGACUAUACUAUAAAUAAUAAUAAUGAUACUUUAAUAGUAAUGUAUGUGAGUUAUUUUGAAUUUGUAAUUAACUAAUCCAUGCAUUAUACUUAUAGUUUUACUUUAUGUAUUUCCAUUAUAAAUUGGAUUAUAUAAAUCUA